ACCCCUGACCGCUGACCAGGCUGGGGUCAUAAUAGGUUACAUAUUCUCUUAUGUCAAACUUAAACAAAUAUUCAAAGGUUUUCAUGUAUUCAAUGGAAUCUGUAGGACCUAAUAAACAAUUUGCAGGUGAAAAUAUUCACAGAUACAGAGAUUUUUGCAAAAAAAAAAAUGUGGUUAUUGUUUUCUGGAAAACACGAAAAAAUAUACUUAUUUGAAAUAAGCAGUCUGAAAUUAUGUUUGUACUGUGUCUGUCUCUUUAAGGCACAGGCUCAGAGUUAGUGUGCUGGGGGAAAACAGGCCUGCAUUUUACAAUACAGGAAGAAGCCUUUCUAAUGGCUUUCUUUUCAGACUUGAAAUGGUACUAUUAUGAUGUCCAAAAACUCUAUAAAUCAGUCUUUUGGAAGUUGCUCAACUUUUCCAGAAAACACUUACUGUGUUCUUUUCUGCAAAAAUCACCAUGUCUGUGAAUAUUUUUGCCUGCAAAUCAUUGAUUAUGUCCUAUAGAUUCCACUGAUACAUGAAAACCUCUAAAUAUUUGGUUAAGUUUGACAAAAGAGAAAGUAUAACCUAAAUUUGUGGCAUUACAGCCAUACCAAUACCAAUGACUGCGACUUUUUGGCCUCUACAAGAAUAUCAUCUCUAAUUUGCCCCAGUUUACUGCAUCCGUACCAUAAAGAUUAACGAACACUUGAAACUUGGUAUAAUGUAUUGCAAGUUAGAUGCAGUUAUAUGCUAGCUGCUGUUUGCUCUUUCACCUGGACUACCUGGACCAUAUAGCAUUGCCUUCUCCUGUCCUUUGUGUCAGUUAUCCAUUUAGAUCCUCGCCUGUCAGGUCUCUGAAAAAUGAUGUACAAAAUGGACUUAAUGAAGAAGAAAUUGUUGUGAGGGAUUCACAAUGCAGAAGUUGCAGGUUAUGCCCAGAAAGGAUUCUGAACAAGACGCCCAAUGCAGACGCAAAAAUGUAGCGCAAAACACAAACUGAGCACUCAUUGGGUUAACUCAAACAACAAGAGAAAACGGCAAAGGGUCUUCUCUUGUCACCACAGGCGAGUGUUCAUGUGCACCUAGCCUACAAGCCGCACACCCGUCAGAGAGGCUGCUGAAGUAAGCUUAAUACCCAUGUUUUGGGCCAAGUGCAGGCAGGGAAGCAUCCAGACCCAAUAGGUUAAAAAGUGGUACAUUAAUUUGAAAUCUGAGAAAAGAGAUGUGUUCAUAAUUAUCACCUUGCCACUGCAUAGGUCUAGAAAUAUUUCCCCUAUUUUCACUAAGCCCGAUCCUUGUUAACCCAUUGUCGCCGGGGAUGGCAUGUACAUACAUGCCAUGCCCACUGUGAGUCGACUUGUUUGAUUGUUUUUACACAAGGAUGGCUACACUUGUACUAAGUAUCCAAUGAGCCAAUUACGAGUACUGCCUGUCUCGCCCGUUCGUCCUUUUCAUCGAUUUACAAAAAUAUGUAACGUUAUCCUAAUUUGCUGUUGAAAAUAACACCAUCUAUAUUUAUAGCACUAGUAAAAAUAUGUUUUUCCCGCCAAUUCAAGGAAAGGUGAAAUCAGGACUAGCAGAGCCAUCUAUGGACAGAGAUAUUGCACAAAAAUAUAAAAAAUGAGUACUGCAUUUCCCCCAUUUUUUGUUCAUUUUCCCCGGCGGCAAUGGGUUAACCUAUUGGAUCCUGGUGCCUCACAUGGCAUUACUCUUACCUGAGUGGUAACUCAGGCUUGCCUCCUCUUUGCAAUGUUAUCUCUUUUUCUGCAGAAGCAUUUUUUGUCAUUUUGCCAUUUUCUAAGGUCUAUAUUUGUCAGUUUUUCCAUGAAGGCACAUUUAUGUCACCCAGUCGUUAAUCAAAUUUUUUCAUGAUGUGACAGUCACAUCACCCAUAUCCACUUGGUUAAUACCCUAAUGUUAGCCAAGGUUGAACUGUCAAAAAUGUUUUUGACUUUAUCUUGUGUAGCCUUUGAAAAAUAAAAUUCUUAAUAGAAUAUGUAUUUCAAUAAGUCAUUUUGCCCAAUAGUUUAGAUAAAUGUAUUUCCACAUUUC